CCGUGCUCUUGUCUUACGAGCUCCCUCCGCCGCCGUUCUCGCGCUGCUUCUUCUCUCCUCGCCGGAGGUUUGUCAUCGUCUUCUCUCAUCACUGUUAGUUCAGGUUCACUGAAGGUUACACCAUCUAUGGUCGAGUGAAGAUCCCCAGCAAUUUAGGAACAAAAGACUAUAUAAUUCCUGGAAAAGUGUCGAAUGUCAAAGUCAUACUCAAUGGUGGUCAGAGAGUUACUUUUUUUAGGCCUGAUGGAUAUUUCUCAUUGUAUCCUUUAAUUUACAUCUUCAUUUUAAACUCAUUUCAAUUUGCAUGAUAACUGCUAUUACAAUAAUACUUCAGGUCAUGUUUAAUUUGAUUUAUGUUUGCUGUCCUGAUAUUGCUUUUGCAAAGUUAUAGUUAAUGAUAGUAUUUUGUUGUUGAGCAACAAACUAGUUCCUUAACAUGUUUGAUUUAAGCCACAACGUCCCAAAUAUUUCUUGAUGGAUGCUUCAUGAGGUCUGAAAAUUAUAGCUUCUUUGAUGAGUAUGCAGGGCCAGGGGACAAGGCUGUUUGUGGCAACAAAACUAGGACGAAUUCGAGUUUUCGAGCGGCCACAAAGCAGAUGCUUUUGGAAGUAGUUCAAGCUGCACCAAACAGCAUAGGAUACUAUGCAAAAGGGAAGGUUGAUGUUUCUGGAAGGGUAAAUGAAUCUGCUUAUGUUUUGGCUAAUUGUUGGAAGAGUUUGAACAGUAGUUCUUGCAAAGUGCUGAAUUAAGGAGAGAAGAGAGAGAGAAUUUUGGAGAAGGUUUGAAGUGAUUGGAUUUCACAGUUAUAUGCAUUAAAAGCUAUCUAAGGCCAUAGAGCAGUUACAAUGAAAUAUAUGCACGACUUCAAUAAUAAUAAUAAUAUCAAAUACAUGCUGUAAACUACAAGGUUUGCACUUUCCAUCUACUUCUAACUGCUUUUACUAUUUACCUUAUUAUUUUUCAGAUCACUUCACUACACUACUGCUCUUCUUUUCUUUUUAGUUUGUGGCCUUAAUUCUCUAUCCUUAAUUCUUUGAGAGAACUUGAAGCUGCUACUAAUGGAUUGUGUGAAGAGAAUGUGAUUGGUGAAGAUGGUUAUGACAUUGUUUAUUCUGGCGUUCUAAGUGAUGGUACCAAAGUUGCUGUCAAGAAUCUCUUGAAUAACAAGCAUCUCGGCCAUCAGCACUUCCUCCAAAUACGAGGGACACAUUAUAUCAUGGAUUGCCCAAUAGUUUUAAGACUAUCUUUCAAUCUAGGUUGCAAAAUAUGGAUAUCACUAAAGAGCUUUCCAUGACUCGGGUCAAAGCUGAGAUGGACAAGACUCUCCAAUGGCUAACGCCAAUUGCUACAAAUACGGCCAAGUAAGACAUAGAGAAUGCUAUGCUUAAAAUAAUUAUGUCAUAUUCAUGUAUCUGGCAGAGCACACCAAGGGUUUGGAUGGGUUGGUGAAUGGGCAAAUGGAGGGAAUAAUAAUGAGUUUGGUGACAGCACAGGCAAGGAGAGUAAUUUAAUUCGCCUCCAAAUACUAUAUUAUGCUAAGAGGAAUAAGAUAGAUUCUUACAUAAUUGAAUUGUUGACAUGUCUCAACCAUUUGGUUACAUUUGUAAGAUAUAGACAUCAUAGUGGUAGUAGUAAUGGCAUUAAGCCAAAUCAAGGCAAAGGUAAUACUUUGACUUCAAGAAUUUGGCACAUCACGCGUGAGUUUCCUCUUUUUUCCAAUAAUGGCUGCAUGGACCUUUUGUACCCCACUUGUAGGAAUUUACAGCAUCAUACACCAUUAUUCUAGUAUUUUCAAGGCUAUAUCUCCUUACUAUAUUUUCCAUUUCUUUUGGAGAAAUGGAAAAGCUGGCUGGCUUUUACUUGGUGGUACUGUCUUCUGCAUUACAGGAAUAUGGGAAGCACAGAUGCCAAGUGAAAAUUGGCUGAUCACCCAAAGCUGCCAAAGGAAAAUUAAAGCUAGUUGCUGUGGUGGUUUUGGAUGGAUGGGGUGAGGCCAACGCUGAUCAAUACAACUGUAUCCACACUGCUGAAACUCCAACCAUGGAUUCCCUCAAAAAGGGUGCACCUGAAAGUUGGAGAUUGGUGAGGGCUCAUGGGUACUGCUGUGGAACUUCCUACAGAGAAUGACAUGGGCAGCAGUGAAGUUGAUCACUUUGUUUAAAAUUAGAUAAAAUUGUGUAAAAUUUAGUAUGGUUAAAAUUAGAUAAAAUUGUGUAAAAUUUAGUAUGGUUGAACAAUAUAUUGAGGAUUAUAGUUGAUAAUACACUUUGUUUAUAUUUUGAA